rnacentral:rRNA from 1 species
AACGAACGCUGGCGGCAUGCCUAACACAUGCAAGUCGAACGAGACCUUCGGGUCUAGUGGCGCACGGGUGCGUAACGCGUGGGAACCUGCCCUUAGGUUCGGAAUAACUCCCCGAAAGGGGUGCUAAUACCGGAUAAUGUCUUCGGACCAAAGAUUUAUCGCCUUUGGAUGGGCCCGCGUUGGAUUAGCUAGUUGGUAGGGUAAAAGCCUACCAAGGCGACGAUCCAUAGCUGGUCUGAGAGGAUGAUCAGCCACACUGGGACUGAGACACGGCCCAGACUCCUACGGGAGGCAGCAGUGGAGAAUAUUAGACAAUGGGCGAGAGGCUGAUCCAGCAAUGCCGCGUGAGUGAUGAAGGCCUUAGGGUUGGAAAGCUCUUUUACCCGGGAUGAUAAUGACAGUACCGGGAGAAUAAGCGCCGGCUAACUACGUG